GCGCGCGCCCACGGGAGUCUCCUCGCCUCACCUCUUUGCCCGGGCUUCCUCGGUGUCCCGCCAACCCUUUCCGGCUCUCCGCACCCGCGUUCUGUGUUUCCUCCGCGGCUGCGUCUCCGCCCGCCGUACUCUGGCUUUCACUCCCUUCCUGAGGUAGACACGCCCAAGUCCCUAUUCUUCCAGGUAGAGGUUAGAUUCUUCUGAAAAAACCCUUCCCACCUCUUGCCUGAAGAAUGAUCAUCCUUGCUUUCAACAUCUGCCAACUGCAUGAGAUGAGAGUUUCAACAUUCAGGAUGAAAAAGCUUACAUGGGAGAAACAAUCGCCCAAGCUCAUUUGGUGAAAGAAUGAAGUUCAGUAGUCUUUGCAACAUUGAGGCUGACACAGAGGAAAGCAGAGCACAGAGAAUGGCAG